AUUGAACGCUGGCGGCAGGCCUAACACAUGCAAGUCGAGCGGAUGAAGGGAGCUUGCUCCUGGAUUCAGCGGCGGACGGGUGAGUAAUGCCUAGGAAUCUGCCUGGUAGUGGGGGAUAACGUCCGGAAACGGGCGCUAAUACCGCAUACGUCCUGAGGGAGAAAGUGGGGGAUCUUCGGACCUCACGCUAUCAGAUGAGCCUAGGUCGGAUUAGUUAGUUGGUGGGGUAAAGGCCUACCAAGGCGACGAUCCGUAACUGGUCUGAGAGGAUGAUCAGUCACACUGGAACUGAGACACGGUCCAGACUCCUACGGGAGGCAGCAGUGGGGAAUAUCGGACAAUGGGCGAAAGCCUGAUCCAGCCAUGCCGCGUGUGUGAAGAAGGUCUUCGGAUUGUAAAGCACUUUAAGUUGGGAGGAAGGGCAGUAAGUUAAUACCUUGCUGUUUUGACGUUACCAACAGAAUAAGCACCGGCUAACUUCGUG
rnacentral:rRNA from 1 species